rnacentral:rRNA from 2 species
UCGAACGCGUUGGCCCAAUUGAUUGAUGGUGCUUGCACCUGAUUGAUUUUGGUCGCCAACGAGUGGCGGACGGGUGAGUAACACGUAGGUAACCUGCCCAGAAGCGGGGGACAACAUUUGGAAACAGAUGCUAAUACCGCAUAACAGCGUUGUUCGCAUGAACAACGCUUAAAAGAUGGCUUCUCGCUAUCACUUCUGGAUGGACCUGCGGUGCAUUAGCUUGUUGGUGGGGUAACGGCCUACCAAGGCGAUGAUGCAUAGCCGAGUUGAGAGACUGAUCGGCCACAAUGGGACUGAGACACGGCCCAUACUCCUACGGGAGGCAGCAGUAGGGAAUCUUCCACAAUGGGCGCAAGCCUGAUGGAGCAACACCGCGUGAGUGAAGAAGGGUUUCGGCUCGUAAAGCUCUGUUGUUAAAGAAGAACACGUAUGAGAGUAACUGUUCAUACGUUGACGGUAUUUAACCAGAAAGUCACGGCUAACUACGUGCCAGCAGCCGCGGUAAUACGUAGGUGGCAAGCGUUAUCCGGAUUUAUUGGGCGUAAAGAGAGUGCAGGCGGUUUUCUAAGUCUGAUGUGAAAGCCUUCGGCUUAACCGGAGAAGUGCAUCGGAAACUGGAUAACUUGAGUGCAGAAGAGGGUAGUGGAACUCCAUGUGUAGCGGUGGAAUGCGUAGAUAUAUGGAAGAACACCAGUGGCGAAGGCGGCUACCUGGUCUGCAACUGACGCUGAGACUCGAAAGCAUGGGUAGCGAACAGGAUUAGAUACCCUGGUAGUCCAUGCCGUAAACGAUGAGUGCUAGGUGUUGGAGGGUUUCCGCCCUUCAGUGCCGGAGCUAACGCAUUAAGCACUCCGCCUGGGGAGUACGACCGCAAGGUUGAAACUCAAAGGAAUUGACGGGGGCCCGCACAAGCGGUGGAGCAUGUGGUUUAAUUCGAAGCUACGCGAAGAACCUUACCAGGUCUUGACAUCUUGCGCCAACCCUAGAGAUAGGGCGUUUCCUUCGGGAACGCAAUGACAGGUGGUGCAUGGUCGUCGUCAGCUCGUGUCGUGAGAUGUUGGGUUAAGUCCCGCAACGAGCGCAACCCUUGUUACUAGUUGCCAGCAUUAAGUUGGGCACUCUAGUGAGACUGCCGGUGACAAACCGGAGGAAGGUGGGGACGACGUCAGAUCAUCAUGCCCCUUAUGACCUGGGCUACACACGUGCUACAAUGGACGGUACAACGAGUCGCGAACUCGCGAGGGCAAGCAAAUCUCUUAAAACCGUUCUCAGUUCGGACUGCAGGCUGCAACUCGCCUGCACGAAGUCGGAAUCGCUAGUAAUCGCGGAUCAGCAUGCCGCGGUGAAUACGUUCCCGGGCCUUGUACACACCGCCCGUCACACCAUGAGAGUUUGUAACACCCAAAGUCGGUGGGGUAACCUUUUAGGAGCCAGCCGCCUAAGGUGGGACAG